rnacentral:rRNA from 1 species
GCAAGUCGAACGAGAACGGGUCUUAGCUUGCUACAGAUGACGACCGGCGCACGGGUGCGUAACGCGUAUAGAACCUACCUUUUACAGGGGAAUAGCCCAGAGAAAUUUGGAUUAAUGCCCCAUAGUAUUGUUGAAUGGCAUCGUUUAACAAUUAAACAUUUAUGGGUAAAAGAUGGCUAUGCGUUCUAUUAGCUAGAUGGUAAGGUAACGGCUUACCAUGGCAACGAUAGAUAGGGGUCCUGAGAGGGAGAUC